UCCAUGAUUUUUUUUUUUUCUCUGUCUGGAGAACUGCAGCAUUUUCUUCUUCCAUACAGAUUCCAUGGAAUCUAAAAAGAUUAAAACUCCAUAAUAAUACUGGAUUUACUUUCAAGUCUUUCAUCUGAACUCUUAAAGAACUUUAUUGUACAGCAUGUGUACAGCAUCUUUCAAUAAAUUAUCAAGUCUAUGUCCCUUGAAUUUUGAGAUCAAGGAAAACAGGGUUCAACUUGGGGUUGAGAGACGACUGUUAUUACAUCCUCCACUAAAUUGGCAAAGGAGUCCUGGAUAACUUAAGGAAAAUAAAAGGAUUCUCUUGAGAGCCAAAACCAUCCUGGGAUCUGCAUCAAGAGCAGUCAACGCAGAGUUGCCAGGUUUCCAUGAGUCUCAGGCUUUAGGGGCAUUUCAGACCCUUGGGUCAUAUUUAGUGCCUGAGUAUUUCUCUGAGUCUUUCUCUUUGUUGUUUUAAAAAAUGUUACCUUAAGUAUCCUACUGUCAUUUAUACACAGAAACACGAGGAAAA